AUUGAACGCUGGCGGCAGGCCUAAUACAUGCAAGUCGAACGGUAACAUGGAAGUAGCAAUACUUUUGAUGACGAGUGGCGGACGGGUGAGUAAUAUUUGGGAAUCUACCUAUCAGAGGGGGAUAGCAACUGGAAACGGUUGAUAAAACCGCGUACGCUCUGAGGAGGAAAGUAAUGGGAUCGCAAGACCAUUAGCUGAUAGAUGAGCCCAAACGGGAUUAGCUAGUAGGCGGGGUAAGGGCCCACCUAGGCGACGAUCUCUAGCUGGUUUUAGCGGAUGAUCAGCCACAUUGGAACUGAGACACGGUCCAAACUCC
rnacentral:rRNA from 1 species